UAGCCUGUAGCUCAAGUUGGUAGGGCAGCGGUCUCCAAAACCGCAGGUUGCGGGUUCAAAUCCUGGCAGGCUUGCCA
rnacentral:tRNA from 1 species